rnacentral:tRNA from 1 species
GCGGAUGUGGCGGAACUGGCAGACGCGCUGGCUUCAGGUGCCAGUGGGGGCAACCCCGUGGAGGUUCGAAUCCUCUCAUCCGCA